UUGCUUCUCUGAUGUUAGCGGCGGACGGGUGAGUAACACGUGGAUAACCUACCUAUAAGACUGGGAUAACUUCGGGAAACCGGAGCUAAUACCGGAUAAUAUUUUGAACCGCAUGGUUCAAAAGUGAAAGACGGUCUUGCUGUCACUUAUAGAUGGAUCCGCGCUGCAUUAGCUAGUUGGUAAGGUAACGGCUUACCAAGGCAACGAUGCAUAGCCGACCUGAGAGGGUGAUCGGCCACACUGGAACUGAGACACGGUCCAGACUCCUACGGGAGGCAGCAGUAGGGAAUCUUCCGCAAUGGGCGAAAGCCUGACGGAGCAACGCCGCGUGAGUGAUGAAGGUCUUCGGAUCGUAAAACUCUGUUAUUAGGGAAGAACAUAUGUGUAAGUAACUGUGCACAUCUUGACGGUACCUAAUCAGAAAGCCACGGCUAACUACGUGCCAGCAGCCGCGGUAAUACGUAGGUGGCAAGCGUUAUCCGGAAUUAUUGGGCGUAAAGCGCGCGUAGGCGGUUUUUUAAGUCUGAUGUGAAAGCCCACGGCUCAACCGUGGAGGGUCAUUGGAAACUGGAAAACUUGAGUGCAGAAGAGGAAAGUGGAAUUCCAUGUGUAGCGGUGAAAUGCGCAGAGAUAUGGAGGAACACCAGUGGCGAAGGCGACUUUCUGGUCUGUAACUGACGCUGAUGUGCGAAAGCGUGGGGAUCAAACAGGAUUAGAUACCCUGGUAGUCCACGCCGUAAACGAUGAGUGCUAAGUGUUAGGGGGUUUCCGCCCCUUAGUGCUGCAGCUAACGCAUUAAGCACUCCGCCUGGGGAGUACGACCGCAAGGUUGAAACUCAAAGGAAUUGACGGGGACCCGCACAAGCGGUGGAGCAUGUGGUUUAAUUCGAAGCAACGCGAAGAACCUUACCAAAUCUUGACAUCCUUUGACAACUCUAGAGAUAGAGCUUUCCCCUUCGGGGGACAAAGUGACAGGUGGUGCAUGGUUGUCGUCAGCUCGUGUCGUGAGAUGUUGGGUUAAGUCCCGCAACGAGCGCAACCCUUAAGCUUAGUUGCCAUCAUUAAGUUGGGCACUCUAAGUUGACUGCCGGUGACAAACCGGAGGAAGGUGGGGAUGACGUCAAAUCAUCAUGCCCCUUAUGAUUUGGGCUACACACGUGCUACAAUGGACAAUACAAAGGGCAGCGAAACCGCGAGGUCAAGCAAAUCCCAUAAAGUUGUUCUCAGUUCGGAUUGUAGUCUGCAACUCGACUACAUGAAGCUGGAAUCGCUAGUAAUCGUAGAUCAGCAUGCUACGGUGAAUACGUUCCCGGGUCUUGUACACACCGCCCGUCACACCACGAGAGUUUGUAACACCCGAAGCCGGUGGAGUAA
rnacentral:rRNA from 1 species